rnacentral:rRNA from 1 species
AUACGUAGGUGGCAAGCGUUGUCCGGAUUUACUAGGCGUAAAGAGUAUGUAGGCGGAUAUUUAAGUCAGAUGUGAAAUUCCCGGGCUUAACCUGGGCGCUGCAUUUGAUACUGGAUAUCUAGAGUGUGGGAGAGGAAAGCGGAAUUCCUAGUGUAGCGGUGAAAUGCGUAGAGAUUAGGAAGAACACCAGUGGCGAAGGCGGCUUUCUGGACCAUAACUGACGCUGAGAUACGAAAGCGUGGGGAGCAAACAGGAUUAGAUACCCUGGUAGUCCACGCCGUAAGCGAUGGGUACUAGGUGUGGGUAGUUCACACUAUCCGUGCCGCAGCAAACGCAAUAAGUACCCCGCCUGGGGAGUACGGCCGCAAGGUUGAA